rnacentral:rRNA from 1 species
GACGAACGCUGGCGGCAUGCCUAAUACAUGCAAGUCGAGCGAACAGAUGAAGUGCUUGCACUUCUGACGUUAGCGGCGAACGGGUGAGUAACACGUAAGGAAUCUACCUAUAAGCGGGGGAUAACAUUCGGAAACGGGUGCUAAUACCGCAUAAUAUCUUCUUCCGCAUGGAAGGAGAUUGAAAGACGGCUCUGCUGUCACUUAUAGAUGACCUUGCGGUGCAUUAGUUAGUUGGUGGGGUAACGGCCUACCAAGACGAUGAUGCAUAGCCGACCUGAGAGGGGGAUCGGCCACAUUGGGACUGAGACACGGCCCAAACGCCUACGGGAGGCAGCAGUAGGGAAUCUUCCGCAAUGGGCGAAAGCCUGACGGAGCAAUGCCGCGUGAGUGAAGAAGGCCUUCGGGUCGUAAAACUCUGUUAUAAGAGAAGAACAAAUUGUAGAGUAACUGCUACAGUCUUGACGGUAUCUUAUCAGAAAGCCACGGCUAACUACGUGCCAGCCGCCGCAGUAA